rnacentral:rRNA from 1 species
AGAGUUUGAUCAUGGCUCAGAUUGAACGCUGGCGGCAGGCCUAACACAUGCAAGUCGAGCGGAUGAAGGGAGCUUGCUCCUGGAUUCAGCGGCGGACGGGUGAGUAAUGCCUAGGAAUCUGCCUGGUAGUGGGGGAUAACGUCCGGAAACGGGCGCUAAUACCGCAUACGUCCUGUGGGAGAAAGUGGGGGAUCUUCGGACCUCACGCUAUCAGAUGAGCCUAGGUCGGAUUAGCUAGUUGGUGGGGUAAAGGCCUACCAAGGCGACGAUCCGUAACUGGUCUGAGAGGAUGAUCAGUCACACUGGAACUGAGACACGGUCCAGACUCCUACGGGAGGCAGCAGUGGGGAAUAUUGGACAAUGGGCGAAAGCCUGAUCCAGCCAUGCCGCGUGUGUGAAGAAGGUCUUCGGAUUGUAAAGCACUUUAAGUUGGGAGGAAGGGCAGUAAGUUAAUACCUUGCUGUUUUGACGUUACCAACAGAAUAAGCACCGGCUAACUUCGUGCCAGCAGCCGCGGUAAUACGAAGGGUGCAAGCGUUAAUCGGAAUUACUGGGCGUAAAGCGCGCGUAGGUGGUUCAGCAAGUUGGAUGUGAAAUCCCCGGGCUCAACCUGGGAACUGCAUCCAAAAACUACUGAGCUAGAGUACGGUAGAGGGUGGUGGAAUUUCCUGUGUAGCGGUGAAAUGCGUAGAUAUAGGAAGGAACACCAGUGGCGAAGGCGACCACCUGGACUGAUACUGACACUGAGGUGCGAAAGCGUGGGGAGCCAACAGGAUUAGAUACCCUGGUAGUCCACGCCGUAAACGAUGUCGACUAGCCGUUGGGAUCCUUGAGAUCUUAGUGGCGCAGCUAACGCGAUAAGUCGACCGCCUGGGGAGUACGGCCGCAAGGUUAAAACUCAAAUGAAUUGACGGGGGCCCGCACAAGCGGUGGAGCAUGUGGUUUAAUUCGAAGCAACGCGAAGAACCUUACCUGGCCUUGACAUGCUGAGAACUUUCCAGAGAUGGAUUGGUGCCUUCGGGAACUCAGACACAGGUGCUGCAUGGCUGUCGUCAGCUCGUGUCGUGAGAUGUUGGGUUAAGUCCCGUAACGAGCGCAACCCUUGUCCUUAGUUACCAGCACCUCGGGUGGGCACUCUAAGGAGACUGCCGGUGACAAACCGGAGGAAGGUGGGGAUGACGUCAAGUCAUCAUGGCCCUUACGGCCAGGGCUACACACGUGCUACAAUGGUCGGUACAAAGGGUUGCCAAGCCGCGAGGUGGAGCUAAUCCCAUAAAACCGAUCGUAGUCCGGAUCGCAGCCUGCAACUCGACUGCGUGAAGUCGGAAUCGCUAGUAAUCGUGAAUCAGAAUGUCACGGUGAGUACGUUCCCGGGCCUUGUACACACCGCCCGUCACACCAUGGGAGUGGGUUGCUCCAGAAGUAGCUAGUCUAACCGCAAGGGGGACGGUUACCACGGAGUGAUUCAUGACUGGGGUGAAGUCGUAACAAGGUA